rnacentral:rRNA from 1 species
AGAGUUUGAUCCUGGCUCAGGACGAACGCUGGCGGCGCGCUUAACACAUGCAAGUCGAGCGAUCGGCCAGGGGCUUGCCCCUGGUACGGAGCGGCGAACGGGUGAGUAACACGUGAGUAAUCCACCCUCGGCACCGGGAUAGCCCGGGGAAACCCGGAUUAAUACCGGAUGGCCCGCCUCCCUUUCGAGGGGGACGGAAAAGGUAGCUUUGGCCUCCGGCCGAGGACGAGCUCGCGGCGGAUUAGCUUGUUGGCGGGGUAACAGCCCACCAAGGCGACGAUCCGUAGCUGGUCUGAGAGGACGAUCAGCCACACUGGGACUGAGACACGGCCCAGACUCCUACGGGAGGCAGCAGUGGGGAAUCUUGCGCAAUGGGCGAAAGCCUGACGCAGCGACGCCGCGUGAGGGAAGAAGGCCUUCGGGUUGUAAACCUCUUUCAGGAGGGACGAAGCUCACUGGGUUAAUAGCCCUGUGGAGUGACGGUACCUCCAGAAGAAGCCCCGGCUAACUACGUGCCAGCAGCCGCGGUAAUACGUGGGGGGCAAGCGUUGUCCGGAUUUAUUGGGCGUAAAGCGCGUGUAGGCGGCCAGGUAGGUCAGUUGUGAAAAACUCGGGGCUC